ACAUGGGUUAUAAACUUUUCAGACACACCCCUCUCCCUCCACUAUAAAAGCCAUUGACAAAAGUAUAACUUCCUGUUCCGGACACUAGGAUGACGAUCCGAUGUCAGAAUGGUUCAGAUAAUAACUACAGAACUAAGCCAACAUCAGCAUGGACUUUGGUUGAAAAGGGUAGGAACUUUGAACUCGUAUUCACUACAGAAGUGAUACCGCCUAGCCGUUGAGUUAGCAACAGCCGCUACAAACGCAGGUUAGGAAGGAUAGUCAGAGUAUCCCGUCUACUACACACGACGUUACUCCAACGUAUCCAGUGAUCACCAGAGACAUUCUUCAAAGGACAGAGGACUCGGGUUGGCGAUACGGUCUUCCAUCUACCACCAACCUACUGAAGCGCAGCUCAGAGGCACUCUUGUUAUUCCAAACCUCUCAUCUGGGUUGUAUGAGGAGGGUCAGUGGAAGUUCCCUCAUAAGUUCAACCCUUACAACUUCCUGGAUGAACAGGGAAAGCUGGAGAAACAUAAAUCCUCUAUGCCCUUUUCCGUUGGGCCCCGUAUGUGACUGGAAGAGGGACUCACUCGCAUGGAGCUGUUCUUGAUUUUGGUCACUUUGCUGUGACGCUUCCAGUUUGUCUGGUCUGAGGACGCAGGGGAACCUGACUACACCCCUGUGUUUGGUGUGACAUAGGCACCCAAACCUUACAAAGUGGUUGUGUAUAUCUAAGAAGCAGCCAGUAAGGCUGAGCACCAUACUCUGCUUGUCACAAACUGGAUAGAAUGACUUCAAUGUCAUCUGUCUCUCUACUCUAAAGAGAGUGAAAGCACUCAUUAAAGAAAAUAUAUGUAUUUGUACAGAUGGACUUGACUAUAUACAGAGCAAAUGUUGUUUACACAAUGCAGUACUCUCAUUAGUUAAAGCAAUGUCUGUUUUAUGAGGUCAUUUAAGAGUACAAUUAUUACUUUGAUUACUGAAAUCUAUUAAACUGUGUAGAUAUCUUCAAGGUCAAUGCUUCCCAGAGAUACUAACAUACUGAAGUGUCCUUGAGAGUCUGAUAAGCAAGUAUGACAAAGGUGAAGAUAUGCAGUUAAUUAUAAUGGCUAGAUAAUAAGUGCUGACUGCUGAUAUUGCUUUCCUUGCGUUUCUAAGGGUAUUAAUCAGGCAAGCUUAUUCGUUUGUAUCAAUGAAAUCGUUGGAUUUCACAAGUAUGAGCAUCUCAAUUGUGUUCCAGGUUUGUUGUGUCUGUGAGUAUAUAGUAGGAUACACAGAUUCAAUAUAGCCCAUCUAGUAGGCUAUGCAGUAUGCACACACAGACAGCCUUGUAUUUGGAUGAAAAGUUUUGUUUUGUGGUGUAUGUUUAACACACAAGGGUUUUUGUUUGUUGACAUUUUAAUAAAGUAAUAAAGUUAAUAAGGUCUGACUUCCCUCCCACCA